AUGGUGGCGCCGGCUGCCGUCUCCACCUUCUCCUCCUCCUCCUCGUCUUCCUCUUCCGUCGCACCCAGGACCCACCGCCGCGGCCUCCUCAGCACCCGUGCGCCGCUGCCGCCGGCCCGGACCGUCGCCUCCUCCCGCGCGCCGCUGGUCGUGUCCAGCCCGCCGCCCACGCCCGCCCCCGCUCCGGGGCACGCCAAGGUCGACCGCUCCGGCCGGUUCUGCAGCCCCCGCGCCGCGCGCGAGCUCGCGCUGAUGGUCUCCUACGCGGCAUGCCUGGAGGGCGCCGACGUGGUGCGGCACUUCGACCGCCGGGUGGCCGCGAGAAGAGAGCCUGGCUAUGUUUUCAACAAGGCGUGCGUGCAGAGCUACAAUUUUAUGAGCUUUUGUGGGGGGCCUCUGGAGGUUGCGACGGAGGAGGAGGCCGAGAAGCUCAUGAGUCAGAAUGAGAAGGAUUCGGCAAAUGAAGCAGAAGUUCUUUCAGCUCCUCCAAGGCUGGUGUACAACAAUUUUGUGUUACGAUUGGCCCGGGACAUGUUAGUGGCAGUUGCCGGUGGAUGGGAUCAGCAUGUUGAAGUCAUCAACAAAAUAAUUCCCCAACAUUGGAAGGAUGAACCUGUUGCAAGGAUCCUAGAACUUUGCAUUCUUCAUAUUGCCAUGGCAGAGAUGACAUCGAAAGGAACUCCUCACAAAGUUGCCAUUAAUGAGGCGGUAGAUCUGGCAAAGCGGUUUUGUGAUGGAGGUGCUCCUCGGGUAAUCAACGGAUGCCUUCGAACCUAUGUAAAGGAUCACAUGAACAAUGGCACUAGUCAGGCAGCUGAACCAAAGCCAUAA
rnacentral:rRNA from 1 species